CGCAUCUGUGCAUGCAGCAUAUCAAUAAGCGGAGGAAAAGAAACUAACAAGGAUUCCCCUAGUAACGGCGAGUGAAGCGGGAAGAGCUCAAAUUUGAAAUCUUAAAGGGUUUCCCUUUACGAAUUGUAGUUUAAAGAAGUGUUUUCUGUUGAGGUUUUGGUAAAAGUUCUUUGGAAUAGGACAUCAUAGAGGGUGAGAAUCCCGUACUUUGACCUUUACUUUCAACUUUGUGAUACACUUUCAAAGAGUCGGAUUGUUUGGGAAUGCAGUCCAAAAUGGGUGGUAAAUUUCAUCUAAAGCUAAAUAUUGGCGAGAGACCGAUAGCGAACAAGUACCGUGAGGGAAAGAUGAAAAGAACUUUGAAAAGAGAGUUAAACAGUACGUGAAAUUGUCAAAAGGGAAGCGUUUGACACCAGCGUUGUUUUUCUGAAAAUCAAUUAAAGAACUGUUUAUGCUAAGCUGUUUAGACUUUAUCAGCUAACUGUUUAGUUUUGAGCUUUUCUUUAAUGCACUUUUCAGUUAACAAGUCAACAUCAACUUCUUUUGCUGUAAAAAAGCUUGAGGAAGGUGGCUUGAGAUUCGUCUUAAGUGUUUAUAGCCUCUUGCCUAUGCAGUCGGAGAGAUUGAGGUCUGCAGCGUAGAUCCUUCGGGGCUAAAUGCAUUUGUGCUAAGUUAUAGCAUUUUAUAGACAACUUGUUGACUAUGAUUUGUCUUGUAGCUUACUCGCUUAUGUUAUUUUACCUACGCUUAGGAUGUUGAAUCUGUGCGAGACUAC
rnacentral:rRNA from 1 species